rnacentral:tRNA from 1 species
AUCCAUAUAGCUUAAUAGGUAGAGCAGCAUGAUCGGCGCAUUAUGUCCACCUUAGUGCAGGUGCAAAUCCUGUUAGGGAUA